GGGCCAGUGGUCUAGCCUGGUCAUGACGUCGCUCUUACACAGCGAAAGUCGGCGGUUCGAAUCCGCCCUGGCCCA
rnacentral:tRNA from 1 species